CGGCCGGGCGUCACGCGCACGGCCCCUCUCCACUGGGGAGCCAUGGGUGUGUGGCCAGGACAGUGGCCCAAGCUCGGGGGCGGAGGCCAACGGGGCGAGGCUUAGAGAGCGGGGACGACGUCUCACCUGAGUUCUCCAGGGUGAAGAGGGUACUGGAGGAGACGAAGGUGGGAAGCUGCUCGGUGAUGCUAGGGGGAGACCAUGGUGGCUCAGACCAGCGCGGUGGCAAUGGAGAUGAUGAGGAACGAGUGGCAAAGUCACUUAGCCGAAGUCCCAGAUAAGGAAGUGCUGAAGGCUCAAAGGGAACACCCAAAAUCACUCUUCAAAACCCCACGCAAAUAAAGACAGGGGUCUUGACAUGUUGCUCAGGCUGGUCUCGAACUCCUGGUGAUCCUCCUGCCUCAGCCUCGCAAAAUGCUAUAGCCUGAUUUCUUGACUCUCAAAUGAUUUGUAUUUCCCACAACAAUUUGUGUGUUAUAAAUUUCUGAG